CUACUCGUUGUUCAUAUCUUACUUAUGCCUCGUCUCCUCUUCAAUUCACACGUUAUAUGGUAUGUUGGAUGAUGCACUAUCCUCCUCAGUCACAUCAUGACAUU